GAUGAACGCUGGCGGCGUGCCUAAUACAUGCAAGUCGAGCGAACAGACGAGGAGCUUGCUCCUCUGACGUUAGCGGCGGACGGGUGAGUAACACGUGGAUAACCUACCUAUAAGACUGGGAUAACUUCGGGAAACCGGAGCUAAUACCGGAUAAUAUAUUGAACCGCAUGGUUCAAUAGUGAAAGACGGUUUUGCUGUCACUUAUAGAUGGAUCCGCUCCGCAUUAGCUAGUUGGUAAGGUAACGGCUUACCAAGGCAACGAUGCGUAGCCGACCUGAGAGGGUGAUCAGCCACACUGGAACUGAGACACGGUCCAGACUCCUACGGGAGGCAGCAGUAGGGAAUCUUGCGCAAUGGGCGAAAGCCUGACGGAGCCACGCCGCGUGAGUGAUGAAGGUCUUCGGGUUGUAAAACUCUGUUAUUAGGGAAGAACAAAUGUGUAAGUAACUAUGCACGUCUUGACGGUACCUAAUCAGAAAGCCACGGCUAACUACGUG
rnacentral:rRNA from 1 species